rnacentral:rRNA from 1 species
GAGUUUGAUCAUGGCUCAGGACGAACGCUGGCGUCGUGCUUAACACAUGCAAGUCGAACGGACUCAGUCGGUGGUAAUACCGGCGAAAGUUAGUGGCGAACGGGUGCGUAACACGUGAGCAACCUACCCUAGAGACUGGGAUAACACCGGGAAACCGGUGCUAAUACCGGAUACCCCCAUCCCAUCGCAUGGUGGAAUAAGGAAAUGUUUUUCGCUCUUGGAGGGGCUCGCGGCCUAUCAGCUUGUUGGUGAGGUAAUGGCUCACCAAGGCUUCGACGGGUAGCUGGUCUGAGAGGACGACCAGCCACACUGGGACUGAGACACGGCCCAGACUCCUACGGGAGGCAGCAGUGGGGAAUAUUGCGCAAUGGGCGAAGGCCUGACGCAGCAACGCCGCGUGGAGGAUGAAGGCUCUCGGGUUGUAAACUCCUUUCAGCAGGGAAGAAAUUGACGGUACCUGCAGAAGAAGCACCGGCCAACUACGUGCCAGCAGCCGCGGUAAUACGUAGGGUGCAAGCGUUGUCCGGAUUCAUUGGGCGUAAAGAGCUCGUAGGCGGCUUGGCAAGUCAGAUGUGA